AAAGGAAUGGCUGGGUCAAAUGGUGUGUCCAUUCCCAGAUUUCUAAGGGAUCUUCAUACUGCUUUCCACAUUGGCUGCAUCAAUUUGCACUCCCACCAGCAAU
rnacentral:pre_miRNA from 1 species